rnacentral:lncRNA from 10 species
ACUUACAGUUCCACAUGGCUGGGGAGCAGCCACAAUCAUGGCAGAAGGCAAGGAGGAGCAAGUCACAUUGUACAUGGAUGGUGGCAGGCAAAAAGAGAGCUUGUGCAGGGAAACUCCCAUUUAUAAGCCAUCAGGUCUCAUGAGACUCAUUUGCUAUCAUGAGAACAGCAUGGGAAAGACCCACCCUCAUGAUUCAAUUACCUCCCACUAGGUCCCUCCUACAACACAUGGGAGUUAUGGGAGCUACAAUUCAAGAUGAGAUUUGGGUGGAGACACAGCCAAACCAUAUCAAUCUAUUUAAAGCUACGUUGGGAUUUGGUUUAUUAUUUGACAAUCUUCCUAUCACACUUUGGGGACCUGGGCAUCACUGAGCAUGAUCGUGCAGCCUCUUCUGACCUGUCUUUAAAAUAAGAUGGAUUCUUGUUUGUCUGAGGUCUCUCUUGAGGCAGGAGAACAGCCUAUUUGCUAUUUCUCUCCCCUGUACUGGGAAAAGACCUGUAGGGACACACAAUUGAGAAGGUGCCGGCUUUCUGAUCACCAUUCUGCCAAUGUGGUGAUGCAGUAUGCUAUGAUGAUGGUGUUAAAGUUCUACUAUCUCCCACUGGUCAAAAACACAUUAGACUACAUAUGGAACUGGGUCCCUUAAAAACCUCUGCAUGGAGUAAAACAAAAAGCCCACCUUGUUUGUGUGAUCAUCACACUCCAGUUACCUAUGUUGUUUUCAGCUGUCACAUAACAUUUUAAACAGACGUUGGUAUCUCUAUGAAUAUACCCAGCUAAGGUUUUUCUGUGAAAUGUAGAGAUUAAGGAAUAGAAACCUCUUCAAUCAUAGUUCAAAUGUGCAUGACCAUAUGUAUAGUCAACUCUCCAUAAAACCAGUAGUUCUGUCUUGCUCGUGAUAGUAGUUGGCCUACAAAUGAUGCUUAAGUUCCUGCUAUGUAUAAAAUGAAACUUUCGAUAAUAUUUAUGGAUGAGAAUCAGUUAAAUGCUCUUUGCUUUGAGUGGAAAGUUGACUUCAAAUGCUAUCUUGGGUGUUUGAGGUGGGAUCUAACCUUUUUACUCCUCACUUACAGGCUGGUGCCCUUCUCCAAUUGCUGUUGGGUUAACUUGACAUCUUUGAAGGCUCCUGGAACCAUUUUCUACUGAAAAAUAUCUGUGGCCUUCUGGGAAGACAUCCUCUCUAUUGUAAAGACAGCACCAAGGAGAUCGUGAUAAAGCAUUCAUGAGAAAUCCACCCCCAUGAUCCAAUCACCUCCCAGCAGGCUCCACCUUCAACACUGGGGAUUACAUUUCAUUGUGAGAUUUAGAGGGAAUACACAUCCAAACUGUAGCAGUCAGGGACCCGACUGAUUGGCUGGCCAAUCUGAUUCAGUACUUCCGUUUUGUUUUGUUUUUUUUUUUUUGAGAUGGAGUCUCACUCUGUUGCCCAGGCUAGAGUGCAGUGGCACAAUCUCAGCUCACUGCAAACUUUGUCUCCUGGAUUCAAGUGAUUCUCCUGCCUCAGCCUCCUGAGUUGCUGGGAUUACAGGCACCCACCACCACAUCUGGCUAAUUUUUGUAUUUUUAGUGGAGAAAGGGUUUCAUCAUGUUGGCCAGGCUGAUCUUGAACUUCUAACCUCAGGUGAUCUGCCUGCCUCGGCCUCCCAAAGUGCUGGGAUUACAGGCAUGAGUCACCAUGCCCAGCCUGAUUCAGUACUUCUUAUCAUGCUGUUCCAAAACAGGAUAAUGACACCAGCAAGAAUCACAACCAAUAUUUGUUCCUGUAUCUAUAUUUCUGUAUAAACCAAUAUAUUAAUAUAUCUAUUUAUCUACCUCCAUUUACCUGCUUCUUCCAGGUUGACUGAAUGCUGAGAAGAAUCACUUGCUAUUACCUUAGUGAAUGUCCUUUUUGUUACAAGUAACAGAAAUACACUUUAGGUAGAUUGAGCAAAAAAUGAGGAAAUUUACUGAAGGAUUCUAGAGUAAGUCUCAGAACUGAAGGGGCGGUGUAGACAGGGAAGCAAUUUGGGAAGCUACCCUCACCUCUCUAUUUUUGAUGCCAUCUCACCUGACCCUUGUGUUUCAUUCUCCUCCCCUCCAGCCUGGCGACAUCCUCUUCUCUGUGCACAUUGUAGAGGACAGCUGCCUUACAGCUCAGCUCCCAAGCGUGUCUGUUUGUGUUAGUCCAUUCUCACGUUGCUAUGAAGAAAUACCUGAGACUGGGUAACUUACAAAGAAAAGAGGUUUAGUUGGCUCACAGUUUCACAGGCUGUACAGGAAGCAUGGCGCUGGGAUCUGCUCAGCUUCCAGAGAGGGCUCAGGAAGCUUCCAAUCAUGGCAGAAGGCAAAGGGGGAGCAGACACUUCACAGGGCCAAAGCUGGAGCAAGAGAGAGGCAGGGGGUGGGGGGUGUCACACACUUUCAAAUGACCAGAUCUCAAGAGGACUCGCUCACUGUCACGAAAACAGCACCGAGGGUAUGGUGCCAAACCAUUC